GUCAUGCCUUCUUGUGUUGUGGUCAUCAUCAUGAAAAGAACAUGCCCCAGGGAGCCUGCUGAUCAAGGAAGAUGAGAGACACUGGAGCCUGGAGUGUAGCCCAGACUACAUUGGCUAAUUCCUAACCUCUCAACAAACAUAUUGGUGAGAUGUUAACCCUAUUUAAAGCUCUCCUGGAGACAUAUUAUAUAGCCCUCUGGUGGGCCAUUUCUGAGGUGUCAAGAGCUUGGGCACUGAACAUUUUACAAAAUUGAAGUGCACUCUGGGAGAUUUUCCCCCCGGAAGACUUCUCCAUAUAGUGGGAGGACUGGAAUGAAGCUGGCUAUAGCCUGGUGUGACCUCCUCCUCAUGGCAGGGGGCUACUCUCAGCUGCUAAAAGGAAAACCCACCAUCCUUUGUGAAUACUGUGGAAAGUUGGCCUUGACUUAUGUGAACUAAAUUUACAUGAGGUCUUCAGGAAAGCGUCUCUCCAAUAAAUACAACUGCCAUGUAGCAAAUUAUUUUGAAAAUAACCAGAAAAUCCUCAGGUGCCUUUGAAUUGUAUGUGGCCGUGGUAGACCUUGCCUACUUGGUAAUCUAAGUGACUUGCACGAAAGCAUGAGAUCUGGAUGGAGCUGGGAUUUGAAAAUAGAUUUUGUUUGGCCUCAAAUGUGUUAUUGAGAGAGGUGUAGUGUCUCUGACCUCCUCCCAUAAAAAUAAAAUUAAAUUAAAUUAAAUCAAAGAGUUAGAAUUUUGGAAUUCACCUAAUCCAGUGUUUGCCUUUUAGAGUUGAAUAAACUGAAAUCCAGAGAAGAACUGAAGGGCACAAGGCCAUGAUUGCUGUGAUUCCAUGGGCUUUACCAGUUUUCAGGGAAACUCCUGAAGGUGGACCCGAGCUCUGUUUCAAGCUGGUGCCCAGCCUCGCUAUGGGACAACCAGGAGGUCACUUGCCGUCCCUGGGAUCCAGUCUUGCCUCUCUUAGGGAAUCAGAUGAGCUGGAUUAGGUGUACUCUCAUAUUCCUUCAAGCUUGAAAGUUCUUUAACUCUGAUUAUAGUCUCUUCUCAUUGAGCUACUUCCCAUGUCUCUUGGGGAGGAAAUUGGGGUGUUGGAAGGGGGACAGGCCCCAUGAAGGAUAGGAUGGUGUAAGUGAACCAGAAAUGCAGAAGUGAUUAUUUUUGUAAAGGAAAUUUAAUACAACGCAAAUAAACACUUUUUUCUUUUCUCCUGUUUUUUUUUUUUAAAGAAAUAGCCAGUAUCAGAGUUCAAGAAAACUGACUAGUGAUGAAUGAAUUUUCAUUGUUUUUCAUUACAGAGAAUCACUCAAAGAUGCUCUUCCAUUUUCAUACCCACAGCACACAGAACACAUGCACUUGCACGUGCCUAUGCACAACAAUCAGCUGGUGUCAGUGAGCAGGACUCAGGCAGUGGCUUUGAUGGAAUUCCCUGGAGAAAUCGGUUCUGUGUGGUUCAUGGGCACAGACCUUGGAAAACUUUCUGAAAGGUCAUUGGCCAGCUUUGCAGACAUAUUAAUUUGUCUCCUAUUUACACUUUCUUCAUCUUGAACAGCACUCUUAUAUACGAUGAGGCAUAUGGCUUUCUCACAUCUUUCAAAUAUUCUUUCUGAAGUUGGGUCUAAUGUCUUUUAUGAGUGGCAGUGUAUCAUUUACUUACAGCCACAAAAACACUGCAUCACAAGCCAUUUCAACACUCUGUAGCUUAGAGUAACGCGGAUUUAUUGUCAUGGAUCUGCAGGUCAACUGUGGGUCUGUUCAUGUAGGCGGGGGUGACUUGGCUCUGCUCCUUCCAUCUCUCAGCCCCUCUUUCUCCUCCUCAGACCAGCAGGCUGGUCCUGCCAGGCGUGUUUUUUCCAUGGUGAUGGCAGAACAAGCCGGAUUAUGCAAGUCUUUUCCAAUGUUGUGCACACAUCACUGGGCUGACAUACCCCUAGCCAGAGCAAGUCAUGUGGCCAAACCCAGAAUCAGAAUGUAAGGAAGUGUAUUCCAUAGUUAGAUGGGGAAGAGUGUGAAAUUUGGGGACAAUAGUUAUUGUCAACAUACACUAUUAUAAUGUAUGCAUUGUGGUAGUUUUUUGU